UAUAUUUCACUAUGUUAUGAUUAUGAACAUUGUUUAUAGUAAAUGCAUUCGAAUGGUUUCAAUAAUGAUUAUUAUUGACGGUUUUAAAUACUUGCACGUUAUGUUGUUUAUAUUAAAGCUUUUGGCAAAUAUAAAUUUUAUGCAUGUUGGAUCUUGGAACGGUUUUGAGAAUGACAUGUUAGGAUAUACCGAAUUUGGUACGUUAGUGUACCCGGAUAAGAUGGCUUAGAUUAAGCCCGAGAUGAAAGACCUAGAUUAACCGCGCGGGAGGGAAUGUCAAAACCUUCGGUUAGUGACCGAGAAGUUGGCCGGAUAUUGAGAAUGUCAAAGCAUUCAGUGAAAGUCUGAGAAGUUGGUCGGAUAUUGAAAAUGUCAAAGCCUUCAGUGAAAGUCCGAGAAGUUGGUCGGAUAUUGGGAAUGUCAUAGCCUUCUGUGAAAGUUCGAGAAGUUGGACGGAUAUUGUCUCAUGUGCUUAGUGCAUGAUGAGGCAUGCUAGGUACUAGCCUAGGCGUGUCAUUCGAAAAUAAUUAGAUUAUUGCUUUUGAGAAAAGCCGAAAAUGUGAGAACUUAUUGAUUUGAGAAAACACGAAUUGGAAAGAUGUGUCAUUAGAAAUGAUUAAUAUUUUUUGAGAAAAGCCAAAAAACUUGGGAAUUCGUUGGAUUUGUGAAAUCAUGGAUUUGAAUCAAAAAUAUAUUUUAAUAUUAAUUAAAUUAUAUUUUAUUGAAUUAUGUUUCAUUAUAUAGUUAUGUAUCAUGGUUUUGGCUUGAGACAUCACGUCCAUUGUUAAAUCUUUUUUAGGUAUCUCACAUUUACCAUAAAAUGAAUUUCAGGUACUGAGAUCUAUCUUGAUUCUUGAGGCAUGUGGAUGUCGUUUGUCUAUUUUGUUUUGAUAAACAUAUUAAUGUAUAAUUUUAAAAAUUGUAAUAUUCUUUUGGCUCAAUGUGAGCAUUGUUCAUGGGUUAUCAUCUUUGUUUGUAUUUGAUAGCUCAUGGAGAGAGUGGUCUUAUGGGAUGGAUUUAUCUGUACUCUGAUGUAAUGACAUUAUGUUGUCAUAUUAUUUUCAUUGACUUUUCUUUAUAUGAUGUGUUUGCUUACGUGGCCGGAUUGUGUGUUAUUCGGAGCGUGACACUGUCGCUCCCACCAUUGCCACCACGACGACCAACCCUCCACCUUCACCACUAUGCUACCAUUGCCACCACAAAUACUAUACUAUAAGCAUCAUUAUCCCUCCACCACUGUCGUUGUCACCUUUACCACCAUUUUACCAUUGUAAUCAUGCCCCACCUCCACCAUUCUCCACCCUCGUUACCAUUUCACAGUUGCAACCACCAUCGCCGUACUAGCACCACUUAUCUACCUCCACCACACUGUUGCCCAGAUAAUCAACCCUAGAGGGGGGGUGAAUAGGGUUGUUUGACAAACUUUUCUUUUUAAUAAAAAUUAUAACUGAAUUAAGAGUUUAGAAUUUUAAGAAGCAUGUAUAAUAUAAAGAAUAUACAUAAGCACAAUAAUAAAAUAUAGGAGAAGAGAUUCAAACUCGGCAAUUUAAAGUGGUUCGUUCUACUGACCCUAUCGUCCACUCCCCAAGCACACCAACUUGAGAUUUCAUCCCUAAUCCCAACUCGUUAUGGGUGGAGUUCAAACCUUUACACGUCCAGAGCACCCAUCUCUUCUUCACAAAGGGUGGAAAAUCCCCUUCACACUCACAAGGGUCACACUAAAACCACCCUCUUGAUACAAUCAACUGUUGACGGAUUUGAGAUUUUCUCACAAUAUCAAUUCUCCUUUUUGAGAAGGAUAUAACAAAUGAAACUUUUUACAAUGAAUAUCUCUCACUAGAACUCUUGUAUCCAAUUUAACUUGAAAUGCUCAAAGGAAAUUGAAGGAAGUAUGCUCUGAGUUCGAAGCCUGUUUUUUCUCACUGAUUACUUGAUAAAAUGAGAGCUAGUUAUAUGUAUUUAUAGGCCUUAGCAAGAAUAUAACCGUUGGAGGGAUUUGAAAUUGAAUCACAUUUUCAAAGUCAGAAAUUGUUGCUAGCCAAAUUUCAAACUUGAAUCAAUUUUCAAAAUCAAAAAUAUUACUAAGCCCAUUUUUCAAAAUUGUAUUAAUUUUCAAAGAUAAGGAAUUAUUGCUUAGCAAAUUUUUUUAAGACUUUAAAUUUUAAUGCACUUUGUAUUUUAAAUGCAUGAAGGAUAUUUAUUAGGUCAUUUUAGAGCCUAAAAAAAUUUAACUAUACAAGAGUUUACAAAAAAUACCCUAAUGAAGUUCUUCUUCUUGAGAUCUUCAGUGCUUGAAGUCUUCAUUUACUUGCAGUCAAAUAUCUCGAUUAUUUUUUGCUUAUUGAGAAUAUGUGCUUUUGAAUGUUUCUUCAACUAUCAUACUUGAAUUAAAUACAUUAGCGCAAAAGGAUAGAAUUUGUUUAUCAUCAAAAACUAUUUGAACUAAUUGGGACUGGACGCCAUUAGGGCUAACACACACAACUAAAACCAAAACCAUUCC
rnacentral:lncRNA from 1 species